UUAAGCGACUAAGCGUACACGGUGGAUGCCCUGGCAGUCAGAGGCGAUGAAGGACGUGCUAAUCUGCGAAAAGCGUCGGUAAGGUGAUAUGAACCGUUAUAGCCGGCGAUGUCCGAAUGGGGAAACCCAGUGCAAUUCGUUGCACUAUCGUUAACUGAAUACAUAGGUUAACGAGGCGAACCGGGGGAACUGAAACAUCUAAGUACCCCGAGGAAAAGAAAUCAACCGAGAUUCCCCCAGUAGCGGCGAGCGAACGGGGAGCAGCCCAGAGUCUGAAUCAGCUUGUGUGUUAGUGGAACGGUCUGGAAAGUCCGACGGUACAGGGUGAUAGUCCCGUACACCAAAAUGCACAGGCUGUGAACUCGAAGAGUAGGGCGGGACACGUGGUAUCCUGUCUGAAUAUGGGGGGACCAUCCUCCAAGGCUAAAUACUCCUGACUGACCGAUAGUGAACCAGUACCGUGAGGGAAAGGCGAAAAGAACCCCGGCGAGGGGAGUGAAAAAGAACCUGAAACCGUGUACGUACAAGCAGUGGGAGCACCUUCGGGUGUGACUGCGUACCUUUUGUAUAAUGGGUCAGCGACUUAUAUUCUGUAGCAAGGUUAACCGUAUAGGGGAGCCGCAGGGAAACCGAGUCUUAACUGGGCGUUAAGUUGCAGGGUAUAGACCCGAAACCCGGUGAUCUAGCCAUGGGCAGGUUGAAGGUUGGGUAACACUAACUGGAGGACCGAACCGACUAAUGUUGAAAAAUUAGCGGAUGACUUGUGGCUGGGGGUGAAAGGCCAAUCAAACCGGGAGAUAGCUGGUUCUCCCCGAAAGCUAUUUAGGUAGCGCCUCGUGAAUUCAUCUUCGGGGGUAGAGCACUGUUUCGGCUAGGGGGUCAUCCCGACUUACCAACCCGAUGCAAACUACGAAUACCGAAGAAUGUUAUCACGGGAGACACACGGCGGGUGCUAACGUCCGUCGUGAAGAGGGAAACAACCCAGACCGCCAGCUAAGGUCCCAAAGUCAUGGUUAAGUGGGAAACGAUGUGGGAAGGCACAGACAGCCAGGAUGUUGGCUUAGAAGCAGCCAUCAUUUAAAGAAAGCGUAAUAGCUCACUGGUCGAGUCGGCCUGCGCGGAAGAUGUAACGGGGCUAAACCAUGCACCGAAGCUGCGGCAGCGACACUAUGUGUUGUUGGGUAGGGGAGCGUUCUGUAAGCCUGCGAAGGUGACCUGUGAGGGUUGCUGGAGGUAUCAGAAGUGCGAAUGCUGACAUAAGUAACGAUAAAGCGGGUGAAAAGCCCGCUCGCCGGAAGACCAAGGGUUCCUGUCCAACGUUAAUCGGGGCAGGGUGAGUCGACCCCUAAGGCGAGGCCGAAAGGCGUAGUCGAUGGGAAACAGGUUAAUAUUCCUGUACUUGGUGUUACUGCGAAGGGGGGACGGAGAAGGCUAUGUUAGCCGGGCGACGGUUGUCCCGGUUUAAGCAUGUAGGCUGGUUAUCCAGGCAAAUCCGGAUAAUCAAGGCUGAGGUGUGAUGACGAGGCACUACGGUGCUGAAGUAACAAAUGCCCUGCUUCCAGGAAAAGCCUCUAAGCAUCAGGUAACAUCAAAUCGUACCCCAAACCGACACAGGUGGUCAGGUAGAGAAUACCAAGGCGCUUGAGAGAACUCGGGUGAAGGAACUAGGCAAAAUGGUGCCGUAACUUCGGGAGAAGGCACGCUGGUGUGUAGGUGAAGCCCCUGCGGAUGGAGCUGAGACCAGUCGAAGAUACCAGCUGGCUGCAACUGUUUAUUAAAAACACAGCACUGUGCAAACACGAAAGUGGACGUAUACGGUGUGACGCCUGCCCGGUGCCGGAAGGUUAAUUGAUGGGGUUAUCCGUAAGGAGAAGCUCUUGAUCGAAGCCCCGGUAAACGGCGGCCGUAACUAUAACGGUCCUAAGGUAGCGAAAUUCCUUGUCGGGUAAGUUCCGACCUGCACGAAUGGCGUAAUGAUGGCCAGGCUGUCUCCACCCGAGACUCAGUGAAAUUGAACUCGCUGUGAAGAUGCAGUGUACCCGCGGCAAGACGGAAAGACCCCGUGAACCUUUACUAUAGCUUGACACUGAACAUUGAGCCUUGAUGUGUAGGAUAGGUGGGAGGCUUUGAAGCGUGGACGCCAGUCUGCGUGGAGCCAACCUUGAAAUACCACCCUUUAAUGUUUGAUGUUCUAACGUUGGCCCCUGACCGGGGUUGCGGACAGUGUCUGGUGGGUAGUUUGACUGGGGCGGUCUCCUCCCAAAGCGUAACGGAGGAGCACGAAGGUUAGCUAAUCCUGGUCGGACAUCAGGAGGUUAGUGCAAUGGCAUAAGCUAGCUUGACUGCGAGCGUGACGGCGCGAGCAGGUGCGAAAGCAGGUCAUAGUGAUCCGGUGGUUCUGAAUGGAAGGGCCAUCGCUCAACGGAUAAAAGGUACUCCGGGGAUAACAGGCUGAUACCGCCCAAGAGUUCAUAUCGACGGCGGUGUUUGGCACCUCGAUGUCGGCUCAUCACAUCCUGGGGCUGAAGUAGGUCCCAAGGGUAUGGCUGUUCGCCAUUUAAAGUGGUACGCGAGCUGGGUUUAGAACGUCGUGAGACAGUUCGGUCCCUAUCUGCCGUGGGCGCUGGAGAAUUGAGGGGGGCUGCUCCUAGUACGAGAGGACCGGAGUGGACGCAUCACUGGUGUUCGGGUUGUCAUGCCAAUGGCACUGCCCGGUAGCUAAAUGCGGAAGAGAUAAGUGCUGAAAGCAUCUAAGCACGAAACUUGCCCCGAGAUGAGUUCUCCCUGAGACUUUAAGUCUCCUGAAGGAACGUUAAAGACGAUGACGUUGAUAGGCCGGGUGUGUAAGCGCAGCGAUGCGUUGAGCUAACCGGUACUAAUGAACCGUGAGGCUUAACCUU
rnacentral:rRNA from 1 species